rnacentral:lncRNA from 1 species
UUUUGGCUUCAUUGUUUGCUUCUGUUUUGCCUCACCUCUACUGUUGAGUAUUUUUAUUAAUGAGCAGUGUAAGUUUCAGUAGAAGCCAUGCCCAGAUGUCCAUACAGGUUUUUAGGUGCAGUGUUCUCAGUGAGUUCUAGAUACUGAUGGCUUUGAGUUGGCCCCUGGUCGAAUCUUAGAAUAAUCUAGAUGGUUUGAAAAAGCAUCAUGGCCGGGGAUUUAGCUCAGUGGUUCCGGCGCCUGUCUCACAAGCGCAAGGUCCCGAGUUCGAUCCCCAGUACCAAAAAGAAAGAAAGAAAGAAAGAAAGAAAGAAAGAAAGAAAGAAGAAAGAAAGAGCAUCAUUAUGACUGGCUCUGGGUUGCCAUAUUUUUCAAGUGGCACCUUGAUUUCUCCGCCGGGGUAUAUAGGCAUGUGUGAAUCCCUCAUGUAGGAGAGGUUUUGGAGGUUUAUUUUAGAAUUUUUUUUUUUUAACCAGUGCCAUCCUAUUGUUUCCUUGUCUUGUUGAGAGUGGCCCAAUGUGAGAUUUUGUGGAAUUUUCACUUCCCCAAGACUGCAUGAGGAAGCUGUCGAUUAGCCCUUGUGUAUGGAUUCUAGGUGUUUCUAUUUUACUAUCGUGCCUCCCAAGCAAGAGCCCUAGUAUCUGACUUCCCCAUUGUCUUCUUGCUCCAUGUUUUUCUCAACUUCCCUUCCUAUAACCCAACAGUCUGCUUGCUCUCUGGGCCAUUAAAAGUUUGCUUUUGCAUUGUAUCUUGUAUUUUCUGUUUAUUGUAAAGAUUUAUAUUCAGUUUACUGGACUUGACCCAUAAUUUGUAAUAGACAUUUAAAGGUCUUUCUCUUUCAAGGAUACUAAAACUGUCUUUCGAGCUUUUUUGUUUUUCCUCCUAGAAUUCAAGCCAAAUUUGUCAAAACUGAAUCAUAACUUUGCUGCUAUAGACUUCAUUUGCCCUACUUCAGGUGGUGGAAUGGCUUAGCUUGAAUGGAAAGGCUGGGCUAUAUUUACAGUUGGAUGAAAAAGAUAUAGUUUAAUAUUUUCAUAGUAUUUCUUUUGUAGCUUUUUUUAUUUAGAGGACAAGAUUGCUCUAGC